AUCCAGCUGACAAGUCCCAAACAGCACGAAACGCACGUCCUGAAU
rfam:Schistosoma mansoni strain Puerto Rico chromosome 4, complete genome